AUUGAACGCUGGCGGCAGGCCUAACACGUGCAAGUCGAACGGUAGCACAGAGAGCUCGCUCUCGGGUGACGAGUGGCGGACGGGUGAGUAACGUCUGGGAAACUGCCCGAUGGAGGGGGAUAACUACUGGAAACGGUAGCUAAUACCGCAUAACGUCGCAAGACCAAAGUGGGGGACCUUCGGGCCUCACACCAUCGGAUGUGCCCAGAUGGGAUUAGCUAGUAGGUGGGGUAAUGGCUAAACUAGGCGACGAUCCCUAGCUGGUCUGAGAGGAUGACCGGCCACACUGGAACUGAGAAACGGUCCAGACUCCUACGGGAGGCAGCAGUGGGGAAUAUUGCACAAUGGGCGCAAGCCUGAUGCAGCCACGCCGCGUGUAUGAAGAAGGCCUUCGGGUUGUAAAGUACUUUCAGCGGGGAGGAAGGCGGUGAAGUUAAUAACUUCACCGAUUGACGUUACCCGCAGAAGAAGCACCGGCUAACUCCGUGCCAGCAGCCGCAGUAA
rnacentral:rRNA from 1 species